rnacentral:rRNA from 1 species
UACAGAGGUCCCAAGCGUUGUUCGGAUUCAUUGGGCGUAAAGGGUGCGUAGGCGGCGCGUUAAGUCGGGUGUGAAAUCUCGGGGCUUAACUCCGAAACUGCAUUCGAUACUGCCGUGCUUGAGGACUGGAGAGGAGACUGGAAUUUACGGUGUAGCGGUGAAAUGCGUAGAUAUCGUAAGGAAGACCAGGGGCGAAGGCGGGUCUCUGGACAGUUACUGACGCUGAGGCACGAAGGCCAGGGGAGCAAACGGG